UGGCAUGCAUGUAGACCUUGCCUGGCACUCUGUGGUCAGGUGAGGGGGGACAGUGUGUGCCAGAGUGCUGUGGAGCUCCUGCCCCUCUGCUCUGCCCGCUGCAUCAUGGCUGGGUGGGUGGCAGUGCUCCCACAUCC
rnacentral:snoRNA from 1 species